rnacentral:tRNA from 1 species
GGUUGGCGCAAUGGUAGCGCGUCCGCCUCCUACGAUGGCAGCGGAAGGUUGUGGGUUCGACUCCCAUGCUAGUCG